AGUGAACGCUGGCGGUAGGCCUAACACAUGCAAGUCGAACGGCAGCACAGUAAGAGCUUGCUCUUACGGGUGGCGAGUGGCGGACGGGUGAGGAAUACAUCGGAAUCUACUUUUUCGUGGGGGAUAACGUAGGGAAACUUACGCUAAUACCGCAUACGACCUACGGUUGAAAGCAGGGGAUCUUCUGACCUUGCGCGAUUGAAUGAGCCGAUGUCGGAUUAGCUAGUUGGCGGGGUAAAGGCCCACCAAGGCGACGAUCCGUAGCUGGUCUGAGAGGAUGAUCAGCCACACUGGAACUGAGACACGGUCCAGACUCCUACGGGAGGCAGCAGUGGGGAAUAUUGGACAAUGGGCGCAAGCCUGAUCCAGUCAUACCGCGUGGGUGAAGAAGGCCUUCGGGUUGUAAAGCCCUUUUGUUGGGAAAGAAAAGCAGCAGGUUAAUACCCCGCUGUUCUGACGGUACCCAAAGAAUAAGCACCGGCUAACUUCGUG
rnacentral:rRNA from 1 species